AUUUGGCUGACGAGUCUAAAACAGGACGAAACGAUUUUCCUGGAU
rnacentral:hammerhead_ribozyme from 1 species